CAUGCUCUGUGACAGAUUACAAAUAACUGCAAGUGCUUCUCACAUGGUGCCGCUGCUUGGAGACUGAAAUGUUGGUGGUUCCAGGCUGACCAUCAGCUACGAAACAACUUUAAAAGAUGGUGCUUAUUGGUUACUUUCUUGCUGUUUUGCAUCAAAGGAACACGGACUGGUCAGCUGAAAGUCAGUGUGGGGUGCUAUGUCCAAAUGGGUAUCACCUGUAUUAUGUUACACUGUGGUAAGGUAGUUCAGUUGGCUGGCCCUACGGAACCAGUAUUUCCCCAGACUGUACAAGCCAUCACACAAGAACACACACACAUGUGCAAGCUUGUUACAUGCAAUAGUCUAGAAUGGGUUUUAAAACUAAUCUCACCUCACCAAUUUGAAGGUGCACAUGUAAAUUAUGUUUGUACGAACAUUCUUCAGCUGUGUGCUUCUGAUCCAUCAUCUGUACUGUGAAACAGUGACCCACAUUUCAUACACAGAUGUAAUCAUUGUCAGGAGCAAGUACAGUGUUUCAAAGUCUGUGACAUUUUGAAAUUUGCUAAUAAAUACAUUUUCUACA